rnacentral:rRNA from 1 species
GUUAAGGUCGUGCAGAGAGCGGCGGGAAUACGAAGGGGGGUGGCGUAGUUCGGAAUUACGGGGCGUAAAGGGCGAGCAGGGGGCUCUGAAAGUCAGAUGGGAAAGCCACGGGCGUAACCUGGGAACUGCAUUUGAUAAUCUGGAGCAUGAGUACGGGAGAGGAGAGUGGAAUUCCCAGUGUAGAGGUGAAAUUCGUAGAUAUUGGGAAGAACACCGGUGGCGAAGGCGGCUAUCUGGACCGUAACUGACGCUGAGGCGCGAAAGCGUGGGGAACAAACAGGAUUAGAUACCCCGGUAGUC